CAGAGAGGCCAUACCAAGAUAAACAUGCCUGAUCUUGUCUGAUCUCAGAAGCUAACCAGGGUCGGUCCUGGUUAACACUUGGG
rnacentral:rRNA from 1 species